UACGUAGGGGGCAAGCGUUGUCCGGAUUUAUUGGGCGUAAAGAGCGUGUAGGCGGCCAGAUAGGUCAGCUGUGAAAACUCGAGGCUCAACCUCGAGCUGUCGGCGGAAACCAUCUGGCUAGAGUCCGGAAGAGGAGAGUGGAAUUCCCGGUGUAGCGGUGAAAUGCGCAGAUAUCGGGAAGAACACCCGUGGCGAAGGCGGCUCUCUGGAACGCAACUGACGCUGAGACGCGAAAGCGUGGGGAGCAAACAGG
rnacentral:rRNA from 1 species